UACGGGGGGGCGAAGCGUUGUUCGGAAUUACUGGGCGUAAAGGGUUCGUAGGUGGCCACUUAAGUCAGACGUGAAAUCCCCUCAGCUUAACUGGGGAACUGCGUCUAGAUACUGGGUGGCUUGGAGUACAGGAGAGGAAUGCGGAAUUCCAGGUGUAGCGGUGAAAUGCGCAGAUAUCAGGAGGAACACCGGUGGCGAAGGCGGUGGUCUGGGCCGGCACUGACGCUGGAGGAGCGAAAGCGUGGGUAGCAAACAGG
rnacentral:rRNA from 1 species